UACGUAGGGUGCGAGCGUUGUCCGGAAUUACUGGGCGUAAAGAGCUCGUAGGUGGUUUGUCGCGUUGUUCGUGAAAACUCACAGCUUAACUGUGGGCGUGCGGGCGAUACGGGCAGACUGGAGUACUGCAGGGGAGACUGGAAUUCCUGGUGUAGCGGUGGAAUGCGCAGAUAUCAGGAGGAACACCGGUGGCGAAGGCGGGUCUCUGGGCAGUAACUGACGCUGGAGGAGCGAAAAGCGUGGGG
rnacentral:rRNA from 1 species